CCAUACCAGUGCCCAUGCACACACACACAAGGACACACACACACACACACACAGACACAGACACACACGUCCAGACACUCACACACAUGCAGCAGAGUCCAGUUGCAGCUCCGUUCCCACUCUCCCCUGCUUCUUCUGUUCAGCAUGCACUGGCGACUGAUCUCUCUCUGGGUGACUGGGACACUGCUGACUGUAGGGCUUUGCUGGGGUAGAGUUGUUACAAAUGGACAAGAUUAUGAAACAACAACACCUGACUAUGACUAUGAAAACGCUACUUUUGACUACUACUUUUUCGGAAAUGCAUCUAUCAACUAUGAAUUAUAUGAAGUUCUUAAUGGGAAAGACAAGGCAGAAAUUCCACAGGAGAAGGAAGUGAGGACAGGAGAAACAAUCAAUAAGGCCUCGGGCAUCACGCACCCAGCCCCCAUCACCCUCCUGGUCCUCUCCAUCCACCAACUCUUUCACCUACUUUAAAUAGGACCAUGUACACACUGGACACACACACACCAAGUUGUAAUGAAGAUGCCAAGAGAGACUGAACAUAAAAGAAGCUAAAUCAAAGAGUUUGUCAGCACAUCCUCAGUUAUAAACAUCACUGUGACACAGAUUUAAGGUGUUGGGUCAAGAUCUGCAAUAAGUAGCCUAACUGUUUUAAUAUUAAAAGCCAUGAAACCAGCAAUUUUAUCAGUAAAUGUUAUUCGACCAAAUGUAAUAUACUUUGCACAGUGCUGUACGCUUUUAGGUUCAGAAGCACUUCUUUUCCUGACUGUAUUAUCUACAGACAAAUUACUGGACCUUCUAUAUGGGACGUUACGUUUCAAUGGACAUUUUUUCUUGGUUGGUGUGGUGCUUGCUUAAAGACUUACAUCGGAGACUUGCAUCAACAUUAAACCUACCAUGUUUAUAUCUUCUUUUCAUCAAUCAUUUUUUUUUUACCUUAACCCUCCAUGUAAUUAAAUUAAAAAUGCUUGUGUUGCUUUUGUUGUUUUUACUUUGUCAGUAAAAAUAAACACAUUUUACUGUC